GGCGCACGGGUGAGUAAUGCGUGGGAACCUGCCUUUUGGUUCGGAAUAACCUCGGGAAACUGAGGCUAAUACCGGAUAAGUCCUUUGGCUUUGGCGGCCAUUGGGGAAAGAUUUAUCGCCAGAAGAUGGGCCCACGUCCGAUUAGGUAGUUGGUGAGGUAACGGCUCACCAAGCCUUCGAUCGGUAGCUGGUCUGAGAGGAUGAUCAGCCACACUGGGACUGAGACACGGCCCAGACUCCUACGGGAGGCAGCAGUGGGGAAUAUUGGACAAUGGGCGCAAGCCUGAUCCAGCAAUGCCGCGUGAGUGAUGAAGGCCUUAGGGUUGUAAAGCUCUUUCGCACGCGACGAUGAUGACGGUAGCGUGAGAAGAAGCCCCGGCUAACUUCGUGCCAGCAGCCGCGGUAAUACGAAGGGGGCUAGCGUUGUUCGGAAUUACUGGGCGUAAAGGGCGCGUAGGCGGCGGAUCAAGUCAGGCGUGAAAGCCCCGGGCUCAAACCUGGGAAUAGCGCUUGGGACUGGUCUGCUCGAGUUCGGUAGAGGUUGGUGGAAUUCCCAGUGGUAGAAGGUGGACAU
rnacentral:rRNA from 1 species